rnacentral:rRNA from 1 species
UACGUAGGGUCCGAGCGUUGUCCGGAAUUAUUGGGCGUAAAGGGCUCGUAGGCGGUUUGUUGCGUCGGGAGUGAAAACACCGGGCUUAACUCGGUGCUUGCUUUCGAUACGGGCAGACUUGAGGCAUGCAGGGGAGAACGGAAUUCCUGGUGUAGCGGUGAAAUGCGCAGAUAUCAGGAGGAACACCGGUGGCGAAGGCGGUUCUCUGGGCAUGUUCUGACGCUGAGGAGCGAAAGUGUGGGGAGCGAACAGG